rnacentral:rRNA from 1 species
GCUUAUACAUGCAGUCGUACGAUGACGCCCCUCUUGCUGGGUGGAUUAGUGGCGAACGGGUGAGUAACACGUGAGUAACCUGCCCUUGACUUCGGGAUAACUCCGGGAAACCGGGGCUAAUACCGGAUAUGUGCUACCUUCGCAUGGGGGUGGUUGGAAAGUUUUUCUCUUGCCGAUGGGCUCCCGGCCUAUCAGCUUGUUGGUGGGGUGAUGGCCUACCAAGGCGACGACGGUCAGCCGGUCUGAGAGGACGACCGGCCACCCUGGGACUGAGACACGGCCCAGACUCCUACGGGAGGCAGCAGUGGGGAAUAUUGCACAAUGGGCGAAAGCCUGAUGCAGCGACGCCGCGUGAGGGAUGAAGGCCUUCGGGUUGUAAACCUCUUUCAGCAGGGAAGAAGCGCAAGUGACGGUACCUGCAUAAGAAGCGCCGGUUAACUACGUGCCAGCAGCCGCGGUAAUACGUAGGGCGCAAGCGUUGUCCGGAAUUAUUGGGCGUAAAGAGCUCGUAGGCGGUUUGUCGCGUCUGGUGUGAAAACUCGAGGCUCAACCUCGAGCUUGCAUCGGGUACGGGCAGACUAGAGUGCGGUAGGGGAGACUGGAAUUCCUGGUGUAGCGGUGGAAUGCGCAGAUAUCAGGAGGAACACCGAUGGCGAAGGCAGGUCUCUGGGCCGCAACUGACGCUGAGGAGCGAAAGCAUGGGGAGCGAACAGGAUUAGAUACCCUGGUAGUCCAUGCCGUAAACGUUGGGCACUAGGUGUGGGGCUCAUUCCACGAGUUCCGUGCCGCAGCAAACGCAUUAAGUGCCCCGCCUGGGGAGUACGGCCGCAAGGCUAAAACUCAAAGGAAUUGACGGGGGCCCGCACAAGCGGCGGAGCAUGCGGAUUAAUUCGAUGCAACGCGAAGAUCUUACCAAGGCUUGACAUGCACGGGAAGCCACCAGAGAUGGUGGUCUCUUUGGACACUCGUGCACAGGUGGUGCAUUGUUGUCGUCAGCUCGUGUCGUGAGAUGUCGGGUUAAGUCCCGCAACGAAGCGCAAACCCUCGUCCAUGUUGCAGCGGUUAUGCGGUACUCAUGGAGACUGCAGGUUCAACUCGAGGAAGGUGGGGAAGACGUCAAUCUUCAUGCCCUUUAUUGCCUG